UUCAUUAUAAACUGCAUGUGCAUCGACCCGACCCGGCCCGACGCAACCCGACCCGCAUUUCUCACCCGUUUGUUUCUCCUGCUCCCGCCGCCGUGAAAACAACCGAGAUUCCUCGCAUGCCGAUGACGAUUGCGGUGACGCCAUCACGCCAAACAGAUCGAUCAGCCUCUCCUUUCGCGACGGCGGCGAAGACGGUGACGCCGGUGGCCGUUGUCUCCGACGGACAGGGGAAGGACGCGCUGAUCUCGUGGUUUCGCGGCGAGUUCGCCGCCGCCAACGCGAUUAUCGACGCCGUGUGCUCGCAUCUCAGGGAGGCUGUUCCCGGAUCGGAGUACGACGCCGUCUUCGCCGCGAUCCAUCGCCGGCGCCUGAACUGGAUCCCCGUUCUCCAGAUGCAGAAGUAUCACUCCAUCGCGGAGGUGGCGAUCGAGCUUCAGAAACUGGAGGCGAAGAAGGCGGAGGAUCUGGUGGAGGAGAUGAAAACGGAGACGGCGGAGGAUCUGAAACAGAGCCGAACAGAGACGGCGGAGAUGAAGAGCGUUUGUUUUAACGGCGAGAAGCUGACGGAAAAUGAACUUAACGGAGACGUUGAAGACGAUUCUCCGAGUAGUGAUAUCACUGAUUCAGGUUCUCAUCAGGAUGUUCACCAUACUGCUGCUGCGGAUACUCCACAGAUUAUAUGCCAGAACCAUGAAGAUUGUGAUGCACGUUCAUCUGAGAUCAAACCUAUCAAAGGUUUCCAAGCCAAGGAGCAAGUGAAAGGCCACACUGUGAAUGUUGUGAAAGGACUAAAGAUGUAUGAAGAGUUACUAAAAGAAGAGGAGUUAACCAAGCUGAUAGACCUUGUUGCUGAUCUCCGAGAAGCUGGCCAAAAUGGGAAGCUUUCAGGUGAGACCUUUAUCCUCUUCAACAAGCAGAUAAAGGGGAACAAGAGAGAGCUGGUUCAGCUUGGUGUCCCAAUCUUUAGCCAUGCGAGGGAUGAAAACACCAACGACAGCAACAACUCUGUUAACAUAGAGCCAAUUCCACCACUUCUUGAGAGUGUCAUUGAUCAUUUUAUCACAUGGAGACUCAUCCCUGAGUACAAGAGACCAAACGGCUGCGUCAUCAACUUCUUUGAAGAGGGUGAACACUCACAGCCUUUCUUGAAACCACCUCAUCUUGAACAACCAAUCUCCACUCUUGUCCUCUCUGAAUCAACAAUGGCCUUUGGACGUAUUCUCUCUAGUGACAAUGAAGGCAACUUCAGAGGACCUUUGACUCUUCCUCUCAAACAAGGAUCUCUGUUGGUGAUGAGAGGAAACAGUGCAGACAUGGCAAGGCAUGUAAUGUGCCCAUCACAAACCAAAAGAGUAAGCAUCACAUUCUUUCGUGUACGUCCUGAGAUAAACAACCACAACAGUCCUCACAAUGAUGGUGUAAUGACAAUGUGGCAACAACAACCACGUCACUACCCAAUGGCACCAACUCCAUACUAUGAUCAUUCACUUGAAAUGAUGCCAAAACUCGGAGUCCUUCCACCAAUGGUCAUAAUGGCACCACCACCGGUUCAACCAAUGGUACUAUCAAGUCCCAGUGUGAUGGGAACCGGUAAUGGUACCGGUGUUUUCUUACCAUGGGCCUCAGCUAGCUCAAGAAAACAUGUGAAGCAUUUGCCUCCACGCGCACAGAAGAAGCGAUUGCUUCCUCCUCCUCCUCCUCCUCCUGCUGCUGCUUCUUCUCCUGCUGGAGAAUCCACCUCUGAGCCUGUGAUCAGUGUAGGUGGAGCCUGAGCCUAAAGCCAAGCCACUUCGAUCUGGUCACAUGUCUCAAGCCAUGUUCUGUUUCUUUCUCUUUUGUUCCUGUCUUUUUCUUUCUUUCGAAUUCAGUUUAGGUUUUAACUCAGGGUUUAUAGAUAGAACUAAAGUUUUCUUAAAUCUCAAGAGGCAUGUGUUCUUUUCUGUUUUUGUUUUUGUGUACUAUUUUAUUUAUCAGUCUAUAUUCUCAA